ensembl:lncRNA
AUCACCAGAUGGUUAGUUACCAGGUAGAGGCAGAACGACCUGGCCCCCAUGGAAGGCUGUGGUGCCCUGAUGGACCUGCCUCUAAAUGGAUCCAGUAUGCCACCUGCCAUGACAUGAGCCUUCUGAUGGGAUGUUGUGGAAAGCACUGGGCACCACCUACAAAGGAGUAUUGCCACAAAUGCUGAGCCUGAACUGAGCAUUCCUGCCUGGGAAAUCCCAUGGACAGAGGAGCCUGGCGGGCUGUAGUCCAUGGCGUUGAAAAAGUUGGACAUGAUUGAGCAACUAAACAACAAUGAUAAAAACAACCAAAAAAGCAUUUCUUUUGACCUCAACACACAGGACAGACUCAGAAGCAACCCGAGAUCUUGGUCCCAGUGUGGGCUCCACCAGUACAUCACUGGUUGUCAGGUAUUGCACUCGGCAUGGCUCAGCCUCAGCAUCUUCGUUUGAAAAAUGUGCAGGAUGGAAGAGGUUUCAUCUGCAGCCUCCCACCUCCUACCCCCAGCACCCUGACAAUGUCAGUUCCAAGCUGACACCCUCCUGAAAUCCAAGAGGUGUAGAACGGGGACCUGAUGGUUUAGACAAACCAUGCUUCUGUGUAUGUAUCACACUAACUUCACUGUUUCCAGAGACAAUAUUAUUGAUUACCAUUUAGCUUGUGGGCCACUCUGAGAUUCUUAUCUCCACUCACCCUAAGAGCCUGCCUUGGCUCAGCCUCCAUCC